UACGAAGGGGGCGAGCGUUGUUCGGAAUCACUGGGCUUAAAGCGUACGUAGGCGGACAUGCAAGUCAGGAGUGAAAGCCCUGGGCUCAACCUAGGAAUUGCUUCUGAAACUGCACGUCUGGAAUCCGGUAGAGGUUGAUGGAAUGUCCAGUGUAGAGGUGAAAUUCGCAGAUAUUGGACGGAACACCAGUGGCGAAGGCGAUCAACUGGGCCGGUAUUGACGCUGAGGUACGAAAGCGUGGGGAUCAAACAGG
rnacentral:rRNA from 1 species